rnacentral:tRNA from 1 species
GAUAUUGAAUUUUCUUUGUUUUCUUUGAACCACUUAUAAAAUAAAAAAAAGGAGAAUUAAUAGUAAAAUUAUAGUAAAGAAGUAAAAC